CCAGCAUCCUAGAGAGCUGGCGCACCUCCUGGGCCUGACGCGGGCUUCCUGGAUUGCAUAAAGGCUCCUUCUCCUUACAUAGCCAGGGCAAAGGUGCAUGACAACUCUGAGCAAGUCAAAACAACCGUCAGCAGCGGGAAACCUCGAUGAACAAACACCGGGAGAGUGCAUUCCCAGGGGAGUUCCAGGAGGCCCAUGGCCCCUCCUGUACAGCCCUCCACCGCCCAGAGCCUUCCAGCGCCGUGUCUUCCCCUUGGAGCAUCUGGAGGCCCCAGACAGCACCCGCCUGACGUUCAGCAGAGGGGGAGACCGAGGCCUGCAGCAGAGUGUUUUGUCAGAUGCUGCUCCCUGACCGGGAGUGAGAGGGAACCCACCUAGAGGUGCCAGAUGGGGUGCCAGGGCAGCGUGGCCUGCAGGCCCCUCAGCUCCUCACAGCCCCUGCCCCCAGCCUUCCUGGGCCCAGAGAUCCCCUUGUUUACCCUAGUCCAGGGACAGAGGCUCAGAUGUCAUGCUUGACCCCACAGUUUCUGCAGAUCCUGCUUUGUGACUUCGAGUGAAGUGUGGAAGCGCUGGAAGCACUUAGACCCUGCCUGUGCCGCAGACCCCUGGGAGGCACCAACACCCCGGAUCGAGAAGCCCGAUGGGAAAGAAUGUCUGGGAAGGACGUCAUGCCCGAGGCUUGCGUGACAGUUUCCACUCACAGUGCGCUCACUCUGAACCUCUGUGCACACGAUGGGCCUGCAUCUCUUCCCACUAUCUGCUAGGAAACACGAGGGUGAGUGAUGAGUUUUUAGGGUGGAGCUGGUCGGCAGUGGGGCCCCGACUCCCAGUCCAGGGCUGCUUCUGUUGCACCAGUGUCCCCCAGUGACCCCUGCACUUGUUUGGGUGCUGGACCCCUUUGAGAAUCUGAUGCACGACAGGGACCAUUUCCCCUGGAAAACACACGUCCCCACCCUUCUUGUAUGCAGAAUCAUGGGAUUUGCCGCAGUUUGCACCCAGGCCUGUGCGGAUGCCCCCCGACUGCCCGAGAUGCUGCACCUGCCACUGCUGGGGGUGUACCUGCCUAUGCCCACUCACAGGGGCACCUCCAGGGUAGCUGCCUGGUGCAGGCAUUGGCUCUAAGCAGAGCAGCACUAUGGGCCCAUCUGGGGCUGGCUCUUGCCUGGGCCUGUGAGCACCAUCACAGCCAGCCGAUCUGGGAGUAUCCAGGGUGUUCUUGUCAUUGCGGACACUGAAUAGCCAUUGGUGGGUGGCGAUGGGGGCUUGGAAGCCGAGCAUCAGUGGCAAUGAGAAGCAGGCCCUGUGGUUUAAUUCCGAAGCACAUGAACCCACAGAGCCGCCAACAGUCGUUAUUCGGCAGGAGGGGGUACAGAGA
rnacentral:lncRNA from 10 species